rnacentral:rRNA from 1 species
AUUGAACGCUGGCGGCAUGCCUUACACAUGCAAGUCGAACGGUAACGCGGGGCAACCUGGCGACGAGUGGCGAACGGGUGAGUAAUGCAUCGGAACGUGCCCAGUAGUGGGGGAUAGCCCGGCGAAAGCCGGAUUAAUACCGCAUACGACCUACGGGUGAAAGGGGGGGAUCGCAAGACCUCUCGCUAUUGGAGCGGCCGAUGUCAGAUUAGGUAGUUGGUGGGGUAAAGGCCUACCAAGCCGACGAUCUGUAGCUGGUCUGAGAGGACGACCAGCCACACUGGGACUGAGACACGGCCCAGACUCCUACGGGAGUCAGCAGUGGGGAAUUUUGGACAAUGGGCGCAAGCCGGAUCCAGCCAUGCCGCGUGCGGGAAGAAGGCCUUCGGGUUGUAAACCGCUUUUGUCAGGGAAGAAAUCUUCUGGGUUAAUACCUCGGGAGGAUGACGGUACCUGAAGAAUAAGCACCGGCUAACUACGUGCCAGCAGCCGCCGUAAGAC